UUCAUGGAAUUGAAGCUCUCUUUUCAUUCCAACACUGAAAGGAGAGAAGGUAUAUAUCACGACUGCUAGUUCAUGGAUUCCUUUGGCUACCAUGUAUGAAUUAAAAGAGUUUUGGAUUUUGCGUAGGUUAAAGGUGUGCAUGAACUAGGAGACGAGCUUAUCUUCUUCUUUUUUUAAUUGGAUUGAAGGGAGCUUCAAAGAUCAUUCUU